GUGCCAGCCGCCGCGGUAAUACAGAGGUCUCAAGUGUUGUUCGGAUUCAUUGGGCGUAAAGGGUGCGUAGGUGGCGCCGUAAGUCAGGUGUGAAAUCCCGGGGCUCAACCCCGGAACUGCACUUGAUACUGCGGUGCUCGAGUACUGGAGAGGAGAUUGGAAUUUACGGUGUAGCAGUGAAAUGCGUAGAUAUCGUAAGGAAGACCAGUGGCGAAGGCGAAUCUCUGGACAGUUACUGACACUGAGGCACGAAGGUCAGGGGAGCAAACGGGAUUAGAUACCCUUGUAGUCC
rnacentral:rRNA from 1 species